AUACGUAGGGGGCGAGCGUUGUCCGGAAUGAUUGGGCGUAAAGGGCGCGUAGGCGGCGCGGUAAGUCUGGAGUGAAAGUCCUGCUUUCAAGGCGGGAAUUGCUUUGGAUACUGCCGCGCUUGAGUGCAGGAGAGGUUAUCGGAAUUCCCGGUGUAGCGGUGAAAUGCGUAGAGAUCGGGAGGAACACCAGUGGCGAAGGCGGGUAACUGGACUGCAACUGACGCUGAGGCGCGAAAGUGUGGGGAGCAAACAGGAUUAGAUACCCUGGUAGUCCACACUGUAAACGAUGAAUGCUAGGUGUAAGAGGUAUCGACCCCUUUUGUGCCGGAGUCAACACAAUAAGCAUUCCGCCUGGGGAGUACGGCCGCAAGGUUGAAACUCAAAUGAAUUGACGGGG
rnacentral:rRNA from 1 species